GGAUGGGGCCAAUAGCUCAGAGGAUUAGAGUGUGUGGCCAUGAACUACGAAGUUGGGGGAUCGAAUACCUCCUCACCCA